rnacentral:rRNA from 1 species
GAUCCUGGCUCAGGAUGAACGCUGGCGGCGUGCAUAACACAUUCAAGUCGAACGGACUUUGUCGGAUUAAUUCUUCGGAAAGCGUGCGAUAAAGUUAGUGGCGGACGGGUGAGUAACGCGUGAGCAACCUGCCUUUGAUAGGGGGAUAACAGAGGGAAACUUCUGCUAAUACCGCAUGAAGCAUGGGGAUCGCAUGGAACCCAUGCCAAAGGAGCAAUCCGAUCAAAGAUGGGCUCGCG